rnacentral:lncRNA from 1 species
UGUUAAAUAAACAGUGUAUCCAUUAAUCAAGUUGCAAUGCAAUUCAUGCAGAAACUUCAUUUUUUGCUUGCCUUGUGACAUUCCCUAUCCAAAUUUUGAUUUGAAUAUCUGCAUUUCCUAAUUUUAAUUGAAAGACAACAUAAACAAAAACGUUUAGAAUAUAUACUUGGCCUACACAGGUUAAAUUUAAGAUGUAAACUUCAAGAGUUUUGAACUGUAGUAAUUCAACUACAAAAAUUUAUAUGUUUAGUUCUUUUUUCUUAUUUUUCCAUAAAAAGUUGUCCAAGUUCUUCGCCGCAAUCUUCCUGUGCAUGAUGUCCAGCCUAUAAAGAGCAAGAAGUUUAUUGUAACAUUCCCUUAUGAGAACAGAAAGAUGUAUGGAGAGUAUAAUCUAAUAGUAUAACCAUAGUUUCCAAGCAUAGUACUUUCAUACAAAUUCAUACUAAUAAAAAACAUUUCGAUUUUUUCAUUCUUUUGUCUUCAAGUUUCUUAGCUUCCAAUUCCAAGCUAUCUUAGACAACUAUGUUGUAUUUCAACCAUUCAUAUGUAUUCAAGUAAAAAUCAAAGCUCUCAGAAUCAGGAUAAUCGAUUUCUGACACAGUAUUAGAGCCUCAAUGAUCUAGUGCUCCAGAGUUUUAUAUUUCUUGCCUACCAUUCUUCUAACAAAAAGUUGAAUUUCCACACAAGGUAGAUGAGCUUGUGUAUUGUCCAUUUUUUAAAGCUCGAGAGGUUCUCAUGCGAGGAGGUGAAUUAGAGAAACGGUAUGGAAGUCAUCAUGUGUCUUUCACCUAACAGUCUAAGUUCUUAGGAUCAGGAACAGAUUUAGAGUAUAGUGAGAGUGUGAAAGUGCAACAAUUGACAGAAAAUUAUAAGAAAAAUCUUCAAUUAUUAUAUUUUACGUACCCUCUCUAAUUUUAUAUAUCUGCACUCCUUUAACCCAAUUUUUAUAUUAUGCACUCCCUGACCCGGUUCCUAGAUGCGCACUUAGAAUAGUUGGUUUUAUAUCAUCAAAAUGGUCAAUGAUUUUAUAUACUUUUGAUAAGAAUGCAAUCCAUUUAAUAUGAAUGAAUAUCACCACAAGAAGCAUUUAUAAAUUGGCUUACCACACUUUCAUUGUGAGGAGUUUUGCAAAGAAUCCUUAACCAUAGUUUCUAUUAGUAUAUGUAUGCUCUUAAGAAAGAAAUGCUUCUUAGGUUUAUGAUUGUAAACAAAAUAACAGCCUACAAUAAAGCACUUCUAGUAUCUACAUUCAAUAGCAUAAUUGGUGUAAUAGGGGAUCAGAGGAUCACUUCAAACAAUCUAGGUUCCAACCAAACAACCAUAAUGAAAUCUUGGUUAUAAAACUUGACUGUUAUUUACAUAUCCAUUAAGCUAUUUAUCAUAAACAAAUUCCACAGAUAGAAAAGUGAACAUACCACUAUAUGGUAUGAACGGAAGUAUUUAAGUUCGUCCAACAUUUUAAUCUGCCACCAAAGACUUUAUUAAUUUUUUUUAAUUGUAACCAUUUAAUCUUUUUGUUAAAAAAUAAACCAUUAGAUUUUAUAUGUCUAUUGUAUUUAAUAGUGCACCAUACUACCUAUUUUUUUUAUCCUUUUUCUUCAUCUUCAUCAUUUCUUUAGUUCUUCAUCAUCACAUUCAUCAAAUAGGUGGUUAUGGUAGAUACAAAACCCAUUGGUGGACCCAUCCAUCUCCAUACUAGAAGGAGAGUCAAUGCCUUGCAAGUCUAAAAAUCGUUUGCGGAGUUAAACCAGAUCCUAUAUCUUGCAAGACCUAGGGCUUUUUUUAACUUCAUUUAAGGGAUUUUUUUAAAGCAUGUGUAGAUGCUAAUGCAUAAGCAUAGGGUCUGGUUUGCAUUUAUAUUCAACUAUUCGGUUAUAUGUCAUUGAAUCAAUUGUCUAUUUUGCUCAACAUCGGAAGUCGACAGGUAAAAUGAAUUUCAUGUCGUUUUCCAGACAUGGAAACAUAUGAUGAGGGAUAAGUGAAGUAAUAAUUGAAAUAGAAGGAAUAUAUAAUCGAUUAAGGAAGGUCAUUAGACAAAUAGUUAACAAAGCUUAAUACGUUCUCUCUGAUCUUUGUUUCAUCACUUACACUACACCUACUACAGAUACAUGAUUAAACAAAACACUUUUCUAUACUCAAAACGAUUUUAAAUUGUUGACAGGUUAUGGUAUUGCAUGUGUCUCGUUAGAUUUGAUGUUUUAUUUUUGAUAAAACCGGCAUACUUACUAUUAUACGAAGGACUGAAAAAUCCUUCGUAUUACUAGUCCAAGUGAAGACUUGCAAUGAAGUCUGUAGGAGGAUCUAAGGUUGAUAGGAAAUGGUAUUAGCUAGUGGUGCUUGGUUAGUAGUUGGUUUGUGAUUUCAAUGAUACAGAUAAAUAUAAUCAAGCAAAAAAGAAAGGAGGUGUGGCGGUGAGAAUUCCAGAAAGCAUAGUGCAGUGAAUUUGGAGAACAGUAACAAUGCCGAAAUAUUUAAUUUUAGAAGUUUGGGGUUACGAAGGUUGGUAAAAAAUGAAUGAAGCUUGUCUAAUGAAACUCGGUUGGGCUAUUUGCAGAGGUGGUAAUAAGUUAUGAUAUGAAGUGUUGAGGGGAAAGUUUGCGCGAGAUGAGUUUCAUGUUGAUCGUAUGGUUGCGAAAGCAAAUGAUUCCAGUGUUUUGAAACAUUUGGCACGAUUGUGGCCUACAUUUGGGUUGUAGAGAAUGACACGAACAUUGCAGCUUGGGAUCAUUGUUGGAUUGGACAUGACAUUGAUAUAAGAGACAUUAUUGAUAACCCAUUUGGGUUUGUCUAGUGGUGUUGGCUUCGGACCUGGGAGUAUGCUCCUUGAUGACAUCUUGUCAUUACAUAAUUUUAUAUGUAAUUUGAUCACAUUUUGGAUUUCACAAGGCAACUUAUGCAGCAAGAAAAGCAAAAAAAACUGAAGAAAAUACAAAGAAGCAAAACGUGUCACGAUUCUGCUAAAACAUGACACGAUUUGACAAGGCCAAAACAUGCUCUCGACAUUGAGGCAAACGUGUCACGAUGGCAAAAACGUGACACGAUUUAAGGAAACCCUAAUACAGCUGUUUGUUAUUCAAAGGAAAAGGUGUCACGAUUUACUUAAAACGUGACACGAUUUUAGGCAAAUUUAUGCGCCUAUUUAAGCUGAAGUCUAUUCCAAAGACAAGGGUUACGAUUUGAGCAGAGCAAAGUGCGAUUUUGAGACUACAACACAGCUAGAAGGGCGAUUUCUUCACUCUUUUACGAGUUCAUGUAUGUAUUGAUUCCUUUAUUGAUUAUGUUAUUUGUAAACACCAUUAUGAGUAGCUAAAUCUCUUAGAGGUUAGGUCUGAGAUGAUUCUUUGUAACCCUAAUGAAAAUCUAGUUUUUAUUCAAUUCAAUUGUUUAUAAUCCUUUUUAUAUCCUGAUCAAAUAUAAACAUGAUUUAGUGAUAACGAAUGACUACUGACCAUGGUUUUCGACUUAGACCUAACUGAAUUGUUCUAAUACAGAUGGUUAGUCUAGGAAUGGAUAAUCCUUUAUUAAUGAUAUUAGUUUAACGUGCUUAAAGCCUUCAAAGAUUAUUAGACCACCUAAGGAAUUAUGGGUGUAAUCUGAGAAGAGAGUCUUAAACUCAAGUGAUUGAUUAUGGCUAUUUUGUUAACUAUCGUGGAACUAGAUAAUCAUUCAUAAGAAUAGGUGCAGUAUACCAAUUAGAGAAACAUCGAUGACUUGAAAGACCUGACCUCAUUUCUCUCUUAUUCUUAAAAACCAACUUUAAAUUCAAUCUUUACUUUUAUGCAAUCAAAUCAAUCUACUACCUAGUGGCAAAUUAAAAGAACCUUUAUACAUCCUUUUUAAUAACGUAAUUGAAUUAUUGAGAUUAAAACCAGUUCUUGUGGGAACGAUAUUUUUACUACUUCGAUAGUAUUUGGUACACUUGCCAAACUUCUAUCACUCCUCCUCAAGAUCUCAGGUUUAAUUCUCUCUAAUGCCAAUUUAGGUGGCCUAAUUAAUUUAGCUUCUUAUACCCAAUGAUAUUUCACAAUACAAAUUAGAAUGUAGCGGACAUCGACAGAUGUAUGUGGCCUGGGAACAAACAUGAUGAUCACUCAAUAGCUUCUUCGUAUGAGGAUUGUAAACUACUAUAUGAAUGCACAUAUGAAUAUAUAUCAAUUGGGUGCAACAUGAUUAGAGAUGUAUGUAGCCGAGUGUUUUGUCGAAUAAAUGGUUACUAUGUUCCUGAUUUUGCAUCUCGUUGUCACAAACAUCUUUGACUCAUCAUUAAAUACAAAGUAGUUCAUUAAUGUGCACUUCUAUUAUCAGUUUAAUUUCUCUCGUUAAAAACUUGUUAGCUAAUGAGGUGGGAAAUGUUUUGUUCGUGCUUGAGGCGUCACAGUGACUAAAAUGAAAGUAGAAAAUAGUGAUUUUGGUUCUUGAACCGAAAAUCAAUAUCCUAAAAUUGAAUUAAUCUUAAAUCUCUAAAUUUCAAAUUUAAUCCACAAAUUCCUAAAUCUCAUUUAAUUCUCUAAAUCCCAAAAUUAAAUUUCAAAUCCCUAAAUCUCUAAAUUCUGAAUUUAAUCCCAAAAUUCCUAAAUCUCCCACAACCACAAAACAUAUUCCUUAAAGAUGACCCUGUUUUAAAACAUUUAAUGCUAAAUCUCAUUUAAUUUGACCCAAAUCCCUAAAUUUCAUUUAAUGUUACUUCACCUAUAUAUAUAGGAUAAGUAAUUUGGUCUAUAUUAUAGACGAAAUACAUGAAUUAAUCAAUAAAUUUAAAAGUCAUUUUUUUGCUUAGAACACUCACAGAAAGAAUAUUAAUUACAUUAGUAGUUACUAGUAUAUAAAUAUAAACAAGUGAACAAAAACUAUGGCUCAGGUUUCUUCUUAAAAUUUUUUCAAACAAUAAUAAUAAUUAUAAUAUAUUUCCAAAUAUUUAAUGUUUUUUUUCAAAUAAUUAAUGUUUUUUUUCAAAUAUUUAAUGUUUUUAUGAUAAGGACAUAUUUAAAAUAUAUUUUCCGUUUACUUUUUUUUUUCCCUGGUCCCUUAUAUAUUAGUCGUAAUAAAGUGUCUUCUAUGCAAUUUUCUAUUCAACCCCACACCAACCACUACUUACUGCCUUCACAAAUCAUCAUAGUAGCUCUUAACCUUCCUUCUUUUUUAAAUCACCCUAAGUCAUCAUGCAAGGGUUCAUUGCUCUUGCUUUGAUUCUUGGUUUUGUUUCACCUUGUCUAUGUACAAGGAUGAAUGUUGGAACCGAAAAUGCAAUUUAUAAUGUGAUACAAUAUGGUGCACGUGGCGAUGGCAUAACUGAUGAUUUACAAGUAGAUGUUUCUUUGAACUAUUUAAUUCGUUUCGUCUAUUAUUUAAUUUGUAAUUUGUAUAUUUUUAUGAGAAACUUAUGGCUUUGGUAGAUUAUGACUAUUCUAAUUGAAUUGUAGGCAUUUGUUAGUGCAUUUAGCAGUGCGUGUAAAGCAGCAGGGAUGUCAACACUAAUAAUACCAGCUGGAAAAAAAUACAUGGUGUCGAAAGCAAAUUUUAGUGGUCCUUGCAGCGCCAGAGUUCUCAUUCAGGUAGAGUCUCAGAUCUUAUUUAAGAUCUAUUCAUUGAUGUCAGUAAAAUAAAACACCUAUAUACUUCCUCCGUCUCUAUAUCUAUGCAUCCAUUUGAUUUUAUUUUUUUUUCUAAAUGUAAAUUCCUUUUUAAAUUAUUAGAUGCAUUUAUUAUUUUUUUUCAUAAAUAUAUCCCUAAUUAAUACUACUAUCUUGUCUUAGUAAUAUGAAAAGUCAAAUUUAAUACACAUACAAACAAAGGACAAUUUCGUAAUAUUAACAUACAAAACAGACACAUUAAUUACACUGACAGUUUUUCUUAAGAAAUGUGAAAAAAGCAAAGGGAGUUACAUUAAGGGACGGAGAGUAUUAAUUACAUACCGAUGGACAAAAGUUAUAUAUGAAUUAUAAUAUAACUUUUUUAAGAAAUUAUAAUAUUAAUUUUUUUUUUACAAGAAAUAAUAUAAUAUUAAGUUUUUAAAAUUAUAUUUUAUAUUGAAAAUAUAGAUAUGCAUCAUUAUUUUUCCAAUGAAGUUUUUGUAUUGUGAAAAUAUUGUAUAUAUUAUAUUAUAUAAUAUAUAUAUAUAUAUAUAAGAUAUUACAUUUAUUUUGUAAAAACAAAAUUAAUUUCGAUGCACUGCUAGUGUAAAAAAAAAUUAAUUAAUCACAAAUCAUUUUUUGUACAACUUUGAAGAUAGAUACAGUCAACGUUGACUAUUUUUUAAUAUUCUAUGGUAGUUUCUGAUUUAAAGAUUUUUUUCUCAUUGUUCGUGUAUUACUUGCCCUCGAUUAAGUGUUUGGUGGAAACCGACUAGGUUUCGUUUGGAUUGGCUUAUUUUAGAGGUUAUGUAAAAUAAUUUAUGCAAAUAAAUAAAUAUUAAUGUAUUAUUUAUAAGUUUGUUAAAGUAGUUUAUGAAAAAACAACUUUUGAAUAUACAAUUUUUAUUAGUAAGAUCUUAUGAAUUAACAUAAAAGCAUAAUUAUUUGUAUAAGCUCUUUUUCAUAAGCUCAAUCCAAGCAAGUCUUAGGCUAGAUAACUUUUCUUAUUUUAUUUGUGUAUUCUUUGUGAUUUUUACCGUUUAAAAAAUAAAAAUGAUUGAUUAAAAGAAUCCACGAUCAAUUUCGUUAAGUUAGUUUAACUUUUUAAAAAAAAAUAUAUAUUAUUGAUUAAAAGAUAUUUUCUUUACGUGUUAUUAUGUCCUCCCUGAUGUUUUUUUCUUUAUUUUUUUGGGUCAAAUAGUUUAGUCGUUAGAAAUCCAUCAUUAACGUGAAGAAACGUGAUAUUCGAUAAUGUCCCUUCUCUAACACAGCUAUGUUCACGAGAAUUUUUUCUUCUUAUUUAUUUUAACCCAAUUUUAGAUCAUAAAAAAUAUUCUCAAUUUUCAUUCCUAUAUAUUUUAUAUACAUAAAUGUUUUUCUAAAAUUAAAAUAUUAAUUCCUUCAAAAAAAAUUAAAAUAUUAAUGAUAAUUUAAAAUAAUUAAAAUCAUUAAUAUUUUUCCCUUUAUACUGCAGCUUGAAGGGCAAAUUGUCGCACCUUCUAGAGCAGCGUCGAAAUCUAAGUUAUAUUGGAUUAGUGUCAAAUAUGUAAACGAACUCACAAUUGAUGGCAAUAACAAAGGAGGUUUUCAUGGAGGUGGUCGUACUUGGUGGCAAUGCCCAACUUGUGAUCGACCUAAGGUAUGAUUAUUAUUAUCAUUCACUUUGUUCUAUGUGAAAAUUAAUUUGAGGAUAUGUUUUCCGUUUCUAAAAUUAUCGAUUUUUAUUUUUUCAUUGUCAUAUAAAAUAUGGCACUUUUGUGCCCUAUAAAAAAAAUUAGCACACAAAUUUUUGAACACAUGUUUAGACAAUUAUAUAAAGAUCAUUUACAAAUAAAAAUAUGAAUUUAUUAACAUGGGGUGGAAAAAAUAUGAACUUUUUAAAUAUCAAAAGUUUAAGAUAAAAGUAAUAAAAUCUAGACAUAGAAGUCAAAUGGUAAGCUCAUUUUUUUGUCGAUGAACUUGUUAUAAUGUUCUAACAUGUUUGUAAAAAAAAUAUUCAAAAAUGCAUUGUUUUCUUCUUCUUCUUUUAUGUAAAAAAAUGUUUGCUAACUUAACAACACAAACUAAAAAUGCGUGCGUAGAAAUUUUAUAAGUACGCAAAGUUGGCAUUUAUUUUAUGGCGACAUAAAAUAAAAGUGUGUAGGGAUGAAAAACAUAUUUAAUCAUUAAUUAUCAUUUUUUUUAAAGGAAAAAAAUGAACAGUUAUAAUUUUUUUUUGAACAGGCAUGAACAGUUAUAAUUUGAUUUUAUAUUCUACAACUUUUUAUUGAGCCCUAAAUUAUCAUUUCGAAAUGAUUGUGAAUAUCUUGUGACAUAAUUUUUCUGUCGGUACAGAUGUUGUUUUUCCAUUCCUGCAAUGGUCUCAAUGUUAGGAACUUGAGGAUCUUGAAUAGCCCAAAAUCUCAUGUUUCUGUUAAUAUGUGCAAUCAUUCAACAUUUUCUCAUAUAUCUAUUAAUUCUGCUGCUGCUAGCCCCAACACUGAUGGAUUUGACAUUUCUCGUUCCAAUAAUAUCUCGAUAGAAAAUUCUAAGAUAAGAUCCGGUAAGUAAAGUUUAUAUUAAGAUUAUUUUAGAAGUGUCAUAGAAAUUGAUAUGAAAAAUGUGGAAAACAUAUUAGUAUAAGUAAAUGCAAAACACUAUUUUUAUAGCUAAGGUCAUUAUCCUUAAAAUAUUUAACAUUUGGGAAAAUUUAACUUGAGUUUUUUUUUUUCUUUUAAAUAGGUGAUGAUUGUAUUGCGGUUAACGGUGGCUCCUUUUUUAUUAAUAUUACUCGGGUUACUUGCGGACCAGGCCAUGGAAUAAGGUUAAUAAAAAUUUCAUCUCUAAAGUUCAAUUUCACACAUAUACUAUUUCUAUUGUACCUUUGUAAAAAUGAGAGCAUAGAAUUAUAAUGUGUGGGCAUGUGUAGAUUGAAUUUGGAUUAGAGAAUUAAUAACCUAAAUUUGUAUUUUAAAUCUCAUUUUGAAAUGUCAUAUGAGUUUUUUUUUUUGAAAUGUCAACAUAUGAGUUUUUUUUUUACAAACAAUGUUAGCUGUUAGUAUGAUAUACUAGUGCUUGGAGUCUGAAUUCUUGACAUAUUUAGACUUAUUUUGGUGUGCCAUAAUUUUAUAUUGUACAUGUAUUCAUAUUUUUAUGAACCUUCCUUCAAAAAAAAUAUUUUCUAUGAACCUCAUAAUAAUGUGUGCUUUAUGAAUUAAUCAGUAUUGGCAGCCUUGGUAGAAAUAGAUUAAAUGAUAAAGUUUCCGAUGUUCAUAUACGUAAUUGUACCUUCAUUGGGACUACAAAUGGAGCAAGAAUCAAGACGGUUCCGGUAAGUGUGACUAAUUGGAUUGAAAUUUUGUUCAUAUUAAAAUUUUAUUCAAUUUUCGUCCUUACUUUUUACAAAAUCAAAUCAAUGUGUCUUUAGUAGUUGUGCAUUAUAGAGACUAAAUUCAAAAAUUAAAAUUUUAUUAGGAUUUAAAAUAUAUUUAACCCUAACGAUUAUAUUUAUGCGUUAGAAAUUAUGCUUGUUGACAUCUACUUUUUUUUUUGUUGUAAAAAAAAAUUAUUAUAAAUUUUCACAUCUACUUUGCUAAUUAUUAUAAUUUUGGAACUUUUUUAUCCACUUUUCUGUUCAGAUAAGUAAUACAUGAUAAGAUCACAUUUUAUAUAUAUUUGCUUAUACCAAAUAUGCUCAAUCCAGAUUGAGAGAGAAAAAACACUUCAUUUAAAUUUUGCUACUCUAAAAUACUGCUAUAGCCUUUAUGUUCAAAUUCAGCGACGCAAUUUAUGAGAACGCCUUCAUUGUAAAAUAUUUUGCAGGGUGGAUCAGGUUAUGCAAGACAGAUUACAUUUGAACAAAUCAUCCUUAGUAAUGUUAAGAACCCAAUAAUUAUAGACCAAGGAUACAAAAUUAGUCCAACGGUACAUAUUUCACUCUACAUUAUUAUUAUAUCUUGUCAUUUCAACAAUGGAUUAUUUCACUGUUGAAUUUUGUUGAAAUUUUUAGGAUACAUCUGUGAAGGUGAGUUCUGUGACAUAUCGAGGAUUUAUUGGAACUUCUGCUAGCAAGAUAGCUGUUAAUUUAAAUUGUAGCUCCCCUGGUUGUUUCAAUAUUCUAUUGGAUCAAAAUAACAUUGUAGCUACUCAAGCAGGAAAAAAGACUUCAUUUUUUUGUAGAAAUGCUCAUGGAACAGUUAGAAAUACUUUUCCAAAUGUCUCUUGCCUAUCUAGUUAAUAAUGUUUUAUUUUAUUGGCCUCCAUUAUGUGGAGAAAUAAAGCUAAAUAAAGAGUGUAUCAUUAAUCAAGUUGCAAUGCAAUUCUUGCAGAAACUUCAUUUUUUGCUUGCCUUAUGACAUUCCCUAUAGAAAUUUGGAUUUGAAUAUCUGCAUUUCAUAAUUUUAAUUGCAAUAUCAUGUUGAAUAUAACAAGACAACAUAAACAAAAAUGUUUAUAAUAUAUGUGUUUGAAUAUAUACUUGGCCUACACAGGUUAAAUUUCAGAUGUAAACUUCAAAAGUUUUAAAUUGUAGUAAUUUAACUACAAAAAUUUAUAUUUUCAGUUCUUUUUUCUUAUUAUUCCAU